CAGAAGAAUCGCUUGAACGACUGAGGUACAGCAGCGCUGGAACUCGGGUGGAGGACGGCACCUCCCUUUCGGGAAACGGCAAUCGGGGCGGGCUCCCAGCCCCUCGCAGAAAGGGAGCAUUCCCAAUCCAACAUCAAAAUCUGCAGGCUGUGUCUCCACCAACUCCAAGCCCUCCAUCCUGGAGCUUUCCCCAGCUACAGCAGGGAGCGCAGCAGUAGACCUCGCUGCCAAUGCUGAGGUGACAGAUGAGUACCACUUUGGACGACUGAAGCCGUACCAUGAACCCAGCAAAGAAAAGAAAAUUCCUAUGGGACAUUGAGCCACCAGUGAUGCAGUUCUAGGGUCUGACGCUGAAGACAACAGUGAUCAGGCCAACAACCCAAACUAGGGAAGCCCAACAUCCAACUUGGGGUCAGAUAAAAAAGCUGUGUCAGGAUGCAGAAAAAAAAGUCCAGCAAGCCAUGCUGCCAGUAACAGGUGCUAACCUGACUGCAGCAAUGUUGGCUCUUAUUGCUAUUGCUGUGAGUAUAUCUCCAGCAUGUGCUCAUUCUGGAAAUUAUA